rnacentral:rRNA from 1 species
UACGGGGGGGUGAGACGUGUUCGGUGAAUUACUGGGCGUAAAGGGCUCGUAGGCGGCCAACUAAGUCGGACGUGAAAUCCCUCAGCUUAACUGGGGAACUGCGUCCGAUACUGGAUGGCUUGGAUUUGGGAGAGGGAUGCGGAAUCCAGGUGUAGCGGUGAAAUGCGUAGAUAUCUGGAGGAAUACCGGUGGCGAAGGCGGCACUCGUCGGACCU